rnacentral:ncRNA from 1 species
UCGGUUCCGGUUCACGUCUGCGACCGCAGGCGACCCGGCGACC